rnacentral:rRNA from 1 species
ACGUAGGUUGCGAGCGUUGUCCGGAUUUACUGGGCGUAAAGCGCGCGCAGGCGGUUCCGAAAGUCGAAUGUGAAAGCUCCUGGCCCAACUGGGAGAGGCCGUUCGAAACUUCGGAACUUGAAGGCGGGAGAGGCAGAUGGAAUUUCCGGUGUAGCGGUAAAAUGCGUAGAUACCGGAAGGAACACCAGUGGCGAAAGCGAUCUGCUGGCCCGCCCUUGACGCUCAGGCGCGAAAGCUAGGGGAGCGACCGGGA